rnacentral:lncRNA from 1 species
CUCAAUGCACGGCGCCUGAGCAAGCAUCUGCUCAGUGGAACACAAAAGACACGAUCUGUCCCAGGACUUUUCCCGUCCCACCUCCCUCGACGCCGCCGCCGCGCUGGAUUCCUCUCUGGCUGAGAGACUCUGCCUCUGUACGGUCUCAUUUAAAAUGCAAAUGCCUGGGCGGUCCCUUUGUGGCUCAGCAGUUAAGGACCACGACGUUCGUUGCCUCUGUGAGGAUGAGGGCUGAAUCCCUGGGCUGUCUCAGGGGGUUAAGCAUCUGGCGUGGCUGAAAGCUGUGGUGCAGGCCCCAGGCGUGGCUUGGUCCAGGUUGCCAUGGGUGUGGCGUAGGCUGCAUCUGCAGCUCCAAUUUGACCCCUGGCCCAGGAACUUCCAUAUGCCGCAGGUGUGGCCAUAAGACAACAAAACAAAGAAAAAAAAAUAAAGCAAGAAAACACACAGGGGUAUGUGGCAGGGUCAAGACCAGAGGAGGCAGGUCCUAGGUCUGGAAGCCUGGCAGGGGGUCUGCAGGACAGUUCAGCCUGCGCAUCAGCACUAUGAGACUCAGCAAGGUCCAAGGUAGACCUCUGUCGGCUGCAGGGUCUCCAGCUCAGUGAGGAGGAGCAGGUGAGAGGUCAGUCCCUCAGGCCACCAAGCUGGCGUUCAGGCCACGGUUCUGGCCGACAUGGGGACCGUCUUACAAGGUCGGGGCAGUGCUGACAUGGACCAAGUUUCACACUUUCAACUUGAGCUCUGAGCACACAUCUCACUUGCAGAUGGACCUGUCCAGCUGCCUCCUUCUAUUUCCAUUUGGAUGCUGGGCUUCCAAGGAUUUCUUUUUUUGUGGUGGUGUCUUUUUAGGGCUGCACCCGCAGUGUAUGGAAGUUCCCAGGCUAGAGGUCCAAUCAGAGCUGUGGCCGCCGGCCUGCACCACAGCCACAGCAACUCCAGAUCCGAAUCGCGUCUGUGACCUACACCACAACUCAGGGCAAUGGUGAAUCCUCAACCCACAGAGCGAGGCCAGGGAUUGAACCUGUGUCCUCAUGGAUAUUAGCUGAAAUCGUUGCUGCCGAGCCCGAUGGCAACUCCCCCAGGUAGUUCAGAGAGCCCACUUGGAACACUCAGGUCUCAUCCUUGUUUCCAGCUCCCCCGCCAGCAGCCGCCCAACAGGAGUUUCUCCAGUCUUUCCUCCUGUCAGAGGCCUUGCCCUCCAGCCACUUGCUCGAGCGGGAACCUGACCCUGGCCUUCCUCUUCUCCUUGCACAGGCAGGAGCGCGCUGUCAUUCUUCCCCAGCCUGAGCUCCCCUGCACCCCGUCCUCCGCCAGCGCACUAGUCCGAGGUCCCAUCACACCGUGGCUGGAGCUCGGGCUCCUUACGGGCCUCCCCUUUCCACUCCGUUCUGUUUUCUUUCUGGAUUCCGGGCAGCCUUCCGUCUUGUAUACUGUCCAUCUUAUAAUCGCAUAUAAUUUGAAUACUGUUGCUCCUUUGCUUAAAAUCUAUCGAUGCCUUCUUGCUGCCGUUAAAUCAGCAUCGACAUGUUUUUCUCUCCGGGUCCUACAAGAUCCGGCUCCGCCAGAUCCGGCCUCGUUUGCCUAACCCGUGUGUUUCCUCCCUCCCCCUGCCACUCACUGGUCGCACUUCUGGAUCUGAAAUUGCCCAGUGCUGGCACCUUCAGGACCUCAUCCAGCACCCCUCACGAGGGUGGUUCGCCUCUCCCCUCUUUGCCUGGCCCGUUCCUCUCAUCACUGAGAUUUCUAAUUAACUGCCACCUCCUCCAAGAGGCCCUCCCUCUUCCCGGGUCUAACGGGUCACGUCUUCCCCUUCUCCCUCCUUCGAACCUCAUGUUUCCUUCCUGCCGCCGAUCACAGGGCAUGCUUGUGCAUCCGUUUGGUGCUUUACUCCACGAAGCUCUAGGAGGCAGGUGCCCUCUCGUGCAGCAUCUGGUGCAGGUCCUUGAAUUCAGUGCCUGUGUGUGACAUGACGGAAGUGUUUAGCCCAGUGUGCAUCCGGGCGAGCAGGAUGGUGGCGCUGACUCAGAGCUGGCGCGGCGGGCACCCUGCAGACUGCCCUGCUCUUGGGGAGAGUGCUGUGAGCACCCUGUUCAGAGUUCAGAGGGCUCCGUGCGGCUGCCUACACCUGAAGGUCACGGGCCUUCCACACCUGCCGUUUGAUGGGGCAGGGUAGGAAGAGACAGGAGUUGGUAAUACCAGGGCCCUCAACACCUUCUGUGGCCUCUUUCGCUGGGGGCUGGACAAGUAACUGAAAGUCUCUAACAUUAGAUCAUUCCAAGAUCAAGGCCCUUGAAGGACAUGAGAUAUAUUGGGACAUGCACCUGACUUCCUGGUGUGACGGGAGGGGAGAGGCAGGAAGACCCAUCUAGUUCCCAUACGAGUCACUUUAGGCUUUAGGACCUCAGUGCCUUGCAUGUCAUCAGAGUCAUCCCACUGCGUUUUGGAGAAUGCAUCCAGAAUGUAGAUUCAGAACAGACAUGGGGAAUAUUGAGAAGGCUCGGUAUUAAUAGCGCCUCUUCAGUUCCUGCUAAUACCGUCAGGUGUUCCUGACAGAACUGCUGGCCGAAUUGUAGAGAAAAGGCCACUGACCUGUCAUUUUUAUUAAAUAUAUCAGCAGAAACUUUCCUAGGGUAAUGCUCUGAGUCAGGCCCUCAUGUCGUUCCGGUUCAUGGAUCAGGACUCUGAAACACGCAGAGGUCAGGUUGUUUGCCCAAGGUCAUGCUGCCACAAAGUCCUCAUGCUGACUGGCAACCCAGGGUGUUUGGUGUGUAAACUCCUCUGCAUGCCACAGGCAUGGCCAAAACCAAACAAAAAACCCACCGGCACACCCGCAACAGUCUGAAAAUGGAUAUGAAAAAUGUGCUGUAGUUUUACUGUUCAAAAGAAAAACAGCAGUUCCCGCGGUGGUUCAGUAGUUAACAAACCCGACUAGUAUCCGUGAGGUUGUGGGUUCCAUCCCAGGCCUUGCUCAGUGGGUUAAGGAUCUGGUGUUUCUGUGAGCUGUGGCGUAGGUCACAGACGCAGCUCAAAUCCUGGGUGGCUGUGGCUGUGCUAUAGGCUAGCAGCUGUAGCUCCAGUUUGACCCCUAGCCUGGGAACCUCCGUAUGUCCAGUGAGGCCCUGAAAUAUUAUUCUAACUGUAAGAAAAUAUUUAAAGUAUGGCAAAUUAUGAAGAUAAUAAAAUUACCUCUCGUCCUACCAACCAGUGUUAACCACUAUGAAUAGCUUAGCGUGUUUCCUCUAAGACUUUUCUGUGCACGUGUGUGCUGAGACUAUUUGCAGUUAUUGUGUCUUUUUACCUAUUUGACUCAAUUUAUAUUUUGGUAUUUUUACUUUGUAUCGUAUCACUAACACUUUCUCACUUAUUAAUUGUUCUCUCACAAUGUGGUGUGUAGCUUUCCAUAUCUGACUAUAUGAAUAUUUGCUGAAUGACUGUCUCCUUACUGUCACAUUCUGCACUUGUUUUUGAUUCUUUUUAGCUGUGCCGCUUGUAAACAGUGGGCCGAUGUGUGUUCCCUAAAAGAGGUGUUGAAGUCUUAACACCUGGUACCAGUGAAUGUGACCUCCUUGGGAAAUAAGACCUUGAGAAGUACACUGGAGUUAAGAUGAAGUCGUACUGGAUUGGGGUUGGCCCUGAAUCUGACGAGUGGUGUCCUGAGAAGGAGAGAGAGACUUAGAGAAUCGCAUACCCAGGAAGUAUGAUCACGUGGAGAUGGACGCAGGGGUUAGAGAGAUGCAGCUGCAAGUGAGGGAGGCCAAGGAUGGCAGGCAAGCCCCAGAAGCAGGAAAGGGCAGGGAUGGGAUCUCCCCCGACAGUGCGGACAGCUUGCUGGCCUGCAGAGCUGUGAAGAAGUCAGUUUCUGUUGUUUCAAGCCACCCACUUGGUGGCCAUUUAUUUCAUCAGCCCUACGAAAUGAAUACAAUAGUCAUAUUUUGCCUUUCGACCAAAUUUGAAAAACAUUUCCCUUAAAAAAUUUGGAGGUGGCGUUCGCAUCAUGGCUCAGUGGUAACAAACCCAACUAGUGUCCAUGAGAACCAAGGUUUGAUCCCUGGCCUGGCUCAGUGGGUUAAGGAUCAGUCAUUGCUGUGAGCUGUGGUGUGGGUCACAGAUGUGGCUCAGAUCCUGUAUUGCUCUGGCAUAGGCCGGCAGCUGUACCUCUCAUUUGACCCCUAGCCUGGGAACCUCCAUCUGCUGCAGGUAC